CCUCCCCACCCUGCCUGUCCCAGUGGGCACCGUCUUCAGUCGCCCCCAGCAGCGGGCCCCGCGGGCCUGAACUGCAACGGCGAUGACAGGGGGAUGUCUGCUUCAGCUGCGCCCUCGGGAGCCCAGGGCCCUUUGGGACGCGGGAAGCAGGUCCCGUCCCAGAGCUGCCUGGAGGACGCAGGGCGGAGCCUGGAAAGCCCUUCGUGCUGGAACCAGCAGAGACCCGAGCACGAUUUCUAAGCUUCUGACCAGCGCACCGGCUCAGGAUGGGAAACCAUGCGGGAAAGCGGGAGUUAAACGCCGAGAAGGGCCACAAGGGGAGGCAGAUGUGGAGCAGAACAAUGGGGCCCCCUCUCAGGACACGGCGGUGACAGACUCCAAGCGCACAGCGGACCCAAAGAAUGCCUGGCAGGACGCCAACCCAGCUGACCCAGGGGGCCGCCCCCACUUGAUCCGCCUCUUUUCCCGAGAUGCCCCCGGGAGGGAGGACAACACCUUCAAAGACCGGCCCUCGGAGUCAGACGAGCUCCAGACCAUCCAAGAGGACAGCACGGCCACUCCCAAGGGCCUCGAUGUGAUGGCGUCACAGAAAAGACCCUCCCAGCGGCACGGCUCCAAGUACCUGGCAUCCGCCAGUGCCAUGGAUCACGCCAGGCACGGCUUCCUCCCGAGGCACAGAGACACGGGCAUCCUUGACUCCCUCGGGCGCUUCUUUGGCGGUGACAGGGGUGUGCCCAAGCGGGGCUCAGGCAAGGUGCCCUGGCUCAAGCAGAGAAGGAGCCCUGUGCCCUCUCAUGCCCGCAGCCAGCCCGGGCUGUGCAACAUGUACCAGGUAAGACGCGCUGACCCUGCCAGGCCCUCCCCGUCCUCGGUCAGCACGGGCCACGUCCGGGCCGCAGCAGGUCGUGAAUGCGUGGGGAAGUCACUUUUGCCAAAGCGAGUGGGGCAGCCCCUGAGGGGAAGCAGGCAAAGGAAAGGCGUGGUGGCAGAAAACCCUUCCAGGGACCUUUGAAUCCGCAAGUGGGGUCCCGCGCAGGUGCCCGGGGCAGGGCCGGCCGCGGGGCCGGGGCAGCGGACAAGCCCACAAGGCCACGGGGGCCUCGGCGCGCCAGGGUCGACCCGCCCUUGGAAACCAGCGCCUAACACGCGUGGAGCCCUCGCUAGUUGGGUUGUCACGUGACGCGUGCCCUUGGGAAGUCGGGUGGCGGGUCGCUGUCCCCGCCCGGGCUCGGCUGAGCCUGUGCUGGGACGAAGGACAAGCCACUGCCUGUCCUCUACUGCUUGCGGCGUCUAGAGCCCCCGGGCCCGUCUGGCUGGCAGGGGGGCAACGGGAAAGAGGAGGCCCUAAGUCGGGCGGGAGUAACACUUCUCCUUGCUCGUGGGGGCGGCCCACACACAAGCUGGCGGCCACAGGCCUCCAGCGGGCGCCGGACCCGGAUGUCUGAGUUUUUCACCUGGGAGAAUGCAGAAGGUGGGGAAGCGAGGCCCGGAGACUAUGGACAGGACGGUGAGCCUGCUGUCCCCACGUGCGUGUGGAGAGUCCCCACCCGCGAGCGUCCACGUGGCGGCCGGCAUCUCAGCUCCUGCUCCACUCGCUUUGGAAAGGGCUCUCUCAGCGGCGCCUCGGUCAAAGCAAACACCCUACCCAGGAGGUGCGUGGUCCCAGACACCCGGCAAAGCCACCGGAGUGCCAAAGCCACAGCAGUGUGUGUGACGGGACAGCAGUGAGCCCCACAGCGGAGUUAGAAGCCCCAGGCGGGGCUGGCUUGCUCCCUUCACCCUGCCGCCACCCGGCACCUCCCUGCCUCGUUCUCUCCUCCACUGAGGAGACAGUUGCCACCGGAAGCAGACAGAUCCACGGAGAGGCCGAGACUUCGCCGGAACCGGCCAGAUGCAAAGUCGAGGAACACAGGGCUGUGCUCCUGAGGUCAUGUCAAGACACUUUCAACGGAAUGUUGGUUUUCCUCUUUUAAAGAACUGCUUGGCAGAGAAAAAACAACACCCCUCUCCUCCACGUCCUCACCCCAGACUGACUUCUGUGCAUCCGUCAAAAAAACCUGACCUGAAAGAAAUAAACAUUCUGCCCAACAGCACCUUUGCGGGACCACGCGGACACGUCGUAAGGCACACGGGACGCACUGCAGGCUCCUGGCAAUGGGUCCUCCUCUGCCUUUAUCCUUUAUUCGGUCACAGAGACCCCGUUCCGGUCCAAGUAGGAUUGGGAUUGGCUUUGGAGGACGUACACGAGAAGGCUGUUAAAAUACGGAAAGUACCGGCCAACUGUGUACAUUUUCACACGCCUGUUAAGUGACGGGAAUUCCAAGACAGAGCCUGAGCCGAAACCAAGGGCAAAUUCACCGCACGGACCCAGCCCGUGGGCUCGACAAAGUCCUCGCUGACCCCGAAGGCCCCUCACGGGCUGAGUUCCAAGGGCCGUUGCGUCCGUGAUCCACGCGGUGGGUGCUCAGGACGCGAAAUGCUUUUCAGGAGGUGCUUGUGCUUCAGGUGCACACGGAAGGUGGGGCAGCCUGGUCUGAGGACCUCGGAACCCGCCCCCCGGAACCCCCUUUCCGCAGAGAGGGCCUCAGCAGGCGGCAGGGCCGUGCUCUUCUCCAGCUGGGGUCUUCUCUCUGAGCAAGAACUUCCCAUUACUUGGAACGUCUGCCCCCAGCAGCUUGGGAUCCCUUACUCUUUCAAGAAGGUGGGUGUGUUUACUGGAGGUCUGAUGGCACCCGCUGUGGGGAAGGAUCGCAAGGGCGGCACUAAACGGUUUCAAAAUGCACUUGUCUGAGCCUCUGUGACCAAGAGCACUUGAAACAGGCUUGCGGAGGGAAGGAAGGCCGCUGGAUGAAACCACAAUAUGAACAGCUGACUCUCAGCUCUCAGAACCAAGAAUGCCUUCCCGCCCCUGUGGUUUGGAAACUCCAACGGGGUCGAUGAGCACUGCCUUCCUACCUUCCAGAAUACUCUUCCUUCUCUCUCUCUCUCUGUCAUGGUCGAUCUCUCUGCCUCUCUGCAAAUAUACCAAGAAAGAUAGGAAAGCCUAGGAAAACCGCCAUGAAAUCAGAGGUAACCCAUCCAAGGGCAGAUCGGUCCCAGCGCUGCCCCCGGCCUUCGAGAGCCAACUCCCCACCAGGAGUUCUUGGAUUCCAGGAGACUCGACAUCUGUUCUAGGAAUACAGAGCUCCACUUUUCCAGGGAGGAGCGUGACCACGGCAGGCAAGGAGGGGGUGCUACAAGCUGACGAGGAGGGCAUCGUAUUCGGGAACCCAAAAGCAAGUCGGAAAGGCAAGAAUUCCAAGAGAGGAGCAGGGAGCACACCGGUGGAGGGGAACAGCAAAUCCUGUUCUCCUGGGGGUCCCGCUCUGCACAGCCGGCCACACAGGGUCCUGCACAGGGUCCCCGUCUUGGCAUCACUGCGUGAAGCAAGGGCCUGUGGACGAAAGAGGAGCGGGAGACGCCCAGAGCCGGAGGGUGCUAUGGGUGUGCCGAGCCUUACGCGGGACACCUGGUCCCGCAGCCAGCGCCCUGCGUGUGGCCGCCACGUGGGCCCCGGGGACGAGCGAGGGGCAGCAAGGGGACGGCCCACACUCUUGCUUGGUCUCCAGCUCCCGUUCCCUCGGGCCUCGCCGGGGCCGGAGAGAGUGAGGGGUGGCCACCAUGCGCAACAGGUUUAAGGGACCAAAGACUUCGCACUGCGGAAAAGCGCCAAGCACGAAUCAGACACACGGGCCGUGGCUCUGCUUUGACCACCGGGCUCCCGUCCUCACCUUAAAGCAUCAACAACAGCGAAAGCAGCCACGAGUGCUGCCCACACCGUGCGGAUCCCGUGCUAAUGGAGCGAAAUAGUAGGGGCGGACGUGCCGUCCCAGCCCGGGAGCCCUGCCCCUCGGCCGCGCGAGGCCUGAGCUGCCCGGGAGGGACACGCGGUGGCCCCGGCAGCCGCAGGCCCCCCUCUGCCGCUCACCGGCUCUGGCCUCGGGCUCACCGGUUUCUGCCCUCAGACCCCAGUUUCUCGACCAGAAAAUAAGAGUGUCAGAUGACAGAUCGCGCAUGUUCCUUUGAGGACGACGGUGUGGCGGUGUUCGGGGAACGCCUGUAGCCGCACGUGGUGACUCCAGUCUUGCUGAGGCGGCAGCCAUCAGGGCAUGACUUCCUGUGCGCUAGGCUUGUUAGGAACAGAACCCUCAUCACGCACACGGGGAGGCCUCCAGAGAUUCCCUCGUGCUCCUCCUUGGCGUUUCCUGAGUCCGAUUUCUUCAUCGUCGCCGGACAGACGGCUCGGACAGAGUCGAAUGAUUUCGACGGCUGCACCUUGGGCGGGCGCUGGAGGUCUAGCCGUGGAGACCGGGAGCCCACCAAGCCCCUGGGGUGGGGGGGGGGGGCACGCAGGCCACCUGGAUGUCCUCGCCCCAGAGGGGGCCGGCGGUCCGUUCUGCCCACCGAAGCCGCCUUGGGGACCCACGGCCCUUACUUGCCGGAAAGCGUUUUGCAACUUGCCUUUUCCUUCCAAAGAAGACUGUCCAGACCCCGCACCUCCGAACGUGCUUGUGCACAACCUGCGCACGAAGACAACUGGGUUCCAAGCCCAGGAAAGACGUCCAGGGAAAUUGUUUUGGCUUCUGUCCCCCGGGAAGCUAGCCUGAUGCUCCUGCCAGGAAGACUCUACCGUGCACGCUGGAUACACUGAGGUCAUUAAGCAUGUGUGUCUGCAAGGGGCAGAAGUCAGAGCGGUGCGGGCCGACCUCCGACCCUGCCUCCCACCGCUUUGGAGGAGCCAGCAGGGAAGCGUCAGAGACCGGUGCUGAGCCGGACUCCGGCUCUGGUCAGCGCCCGCUGCCCCAGCUGUGCGGCACGGAGCUUUCCUGCGGGGAAGACCACCGGUUCCUUCCUCUACGAGCCGUCCCCAGUUUCCUGCAGCAAGCGGGCGGGGUGGGGGAGGGGGGCUGCCUGUGACAAGGUGGAGACGACACGCUGGUCCUCGCAGACGCGCUCCCACGCGGACUCCUCACUAAAACGCCCGUGAGGCGCCGGGUGCACCAGCUCGCUGAUGGGAGACAGAGCCCAGGAGGGCGGCAAACUCUCCACCAUUUCUCCCCAACUUGGGAACCGCUUCCCGCCCCGACGGGCACCCCUGGUCCACCUCCAUCGCUCUCCCCUCCAAGGCACCCACUUCCCAGGAUGAGGGGGUUGAGCACCAGGCACCGCGGGCCGCGACACUAGGCUGGCCGCGUCUCUCCACCCAGGGUGACGGCCUCAGGCUCGCAUUUCAGUUCAUUUCCCGGAGAUCCUGGUUCUGGCCUCGGUCCCGCACCACCGGCCAAGGGAGGGAGAGCCGUCCCCGCAGGGGAGGCGGGCGGGGGGUAGUUUCCCACAGCUUCAUUCUCUGCUGACCUUGGAGCUGGUCCCUCCGAUCAGGGGACAAAGCGACAGUCCCUCCCGAACGCCAGGAACAGCACAAACCCCCGCACCACUCUACUGCCAGCAGCCCGCACCGGCCGGCGCUCUGACUUGCCAGUGUCCGCAGAGAAGGCCGCUUCGGGACAAUCGCCAGGUAACCUAGAAUUUCCAUCUGGAUCAAAGGUCUGCCUGUAAAGUCCUCCAGAAAUAGAGAAAAGACAUCCGCUGCCACUGCACAGCUCUCUCUCUCUCGCCAAAGGAAGAAGCCGCAUCUUUAAUUAAACUCACUCGAGUCGGCAAUCCAGGAGCAAACAUAUUCUUAAACUUGCACAGGGCACCUUGCACAUAUCAUCCGAACAGAAAAGAAGUCUCUCCAGUUUACAAAAUCUAAAAUGCCUUGACUUUGCCAACAACGGAAACGGAAACAAAAACUAACCCUGUCUCCCGAGGCACGGCAGAAGUCUGGACAAAAUGGCAUCAUUGCUUCCUCUGGAAAACGUACGUGAACAGAACUAGUGAGCGAGGCCCAACGGGCUGUAGGAGAACCUCGUGUCCAUCGGUGGUUUCUGGGAACACCCGGGGGCCGUGGGAGUCUGGGAUGUGUGGAUCAGAGCAACGCCCCUGGGGAUUCCGCCCCACACACCAGGACCCGCUCUGAAAGGGACGAAGGUGACGCCUCGAACACCUCUUGGUCGGACCUGUCAUUUUGUCCCCAAACUUGUGCCCCUUGGUGCACACGCUGGAUUUGAUACCACUUACCUCAGUGGCACCUGGGUCGACACCUGGGCCAGUGGCCACGGUGGGGACAGGAAGAUGCCACGGUCCUUACCUCCCCGAGGUCGACAGGAUGGGCGGGGGGGGGGGGGGGGGGGGGGGGGGGGGCUGGUCGGGCAGAGAUACGGUAGGAAAUAGGUGUGGCCGGGCGGGUAUACGGAGGAGUCUUGGAUAGAAAGAGGAGGCUGUUCAGGCACAGAGUCUUUCAGGAAGUCCUCCAGGAGGAUAAACCAUUUAAGCAAGAUUGUUUGUGGACGUAAAGGGUUUGUACACGCCGUGGAAGAAGCAUGAAGUAAGAGAGAAGGGGCGGAAAAGUAUCCAGGUUUCGUAGUAAACUCUGUUCACGGUUCGUAAGUAUGAAGUACAUCGUAUGCAAGAGCGUAUGAGGACUCAUGACCACUUUCACAAGAGAAAACCGUUGUGUUGAUUCCAAGUCGUGCUCAGGUGUGGGCCACUCAGGACAAUAAUGACACCAUUACAGUCCGUGGCUCCAAAGGGGAAAGGGACUAACCACGCGGCUCCCCGGAUCUGAGUUUUCCGAGACCGCCACAGAAGCAAAGAUUUCUCUGGGGGUAAAAAGCAAAGGGCGCAUUCCUUGACUCCCGCCCUCUCAAGAUGUCUGGGGAAACCCUCUAAACGGUAAGUGUCCUCCCUGCCACGCCGUGGGUAUGGGCAGCGCUCCGUGUUGUCGACCCUGUCCGCUACACGAGUAAGUAUCCAAGAUAUGUUUGUCUGUUGGACGGCUGGUCGGUGGGCUGGUUUCAGUGACAGGAACAAAGCAGAAUGACGCGGAUGAGACCGUCAUUCGCGUAGAGCCAUAACUUCCCAUGGACAGUGGGAGCGAACUGGCUUCUAGCUUUCGGUGCAUAGAACCGCAGCCUCUAUACCAACAACGAGGCAGAGACAUCCCGCUUCAUUAACCAGACUUGCUCUCCUUGUCCCCAGCCAUCACGGUUGCCAAAACAAGCAGGAACCAAUUUUGGAGGGAAGAGCAGAGGGCACGGGUCCCCAGUGCUCCGGGCAUUAGCUGACACCUCUAACUGUCUCCAUCAACACGCAUUAAUUUUUCCUUAUACACGAGAACAUUUCUGUUUCUAGCCCAUCGUACCUUCACAGCUUAUCGUAAGGUAAGUCUCCUAACUUAAACAAAAAUAAACCGAAUAGACCUCCAGGUUUUAAAAAUUUAUUCUUCUUUCUUACCUUUCCCUUGGGGCGUCCGGCUAGCCCGUGAGGAGUGUUAGGUCGGGAGCAUCAGCCUCUGUCCCACGUCGACCCCACAGGCACGGGCCCCAGACUCCCAAGUUAGAGACGGGCCGGCACGCGCCUUUUCCACUCGGGUACCAGUUGUCACACCUGUUAAAUGGAGUGGCUGGUUCAGAGGGUGCCGUGCAACAUUUUUGGUCCGGAAACAGCGAGGGUGAACGUAAGAAUCAUACGCCCCAUAUUUGAAAGCGAGUACAAUCGCUCCCUUAAUUCCCUUUUUAAAUUGAAUCCUUUGGGGGACACAUGGAGAAACUCUUGGAACUUGCGUGACUUACGUAAUGGGGAAAGUGCCAGCAACAAAAGCGUCCCUGCCGUUACCGUCGCCGGACGUCAGGGGCCGUAGCACAGAGUGAGGCCGCUGCAAGGGGUCUCCGUCGGCUCCGGGCUUCUCUUCACAGGCUCCGAUGUUUGCUGAACACCAGCGAGCCGGCUGACGGGCCAGACCGGGAGCACGUCGGAGGUCUCGGCACCAACCGGGGCUUGAGGGGAGAGAGCCCGGUGUGAGGAGCAGCGAGCUCAUUUCUUGUCCGUCAUGUAGGAAGGACGGAGCUGAUACCUGCCACACGCACUGCCAGGUCCGCGCCGGGUUCCAAGGGCCAGCGUCCCCCGAACUAGCGCGCGACAGAGUAAACGGCGGAGGGACCGAAUGUAGUGUUAGUCAACGCGCGUGAUCCGCGGGGAGCCGGGCCACACUUAAUGAUUUUUGAAAGACGGUCUAAUAUUGUAACAUAUCCCCAGUCGUCGCAUGGUCGUGAACACUCUUGACCGUCAGGGACGGGGGGCUGGACGCACCAGAAUGUGAAGUUUGGGCUGUAAAACACCGGCAAGAACAGAUCCUCACACGGGCUCCUCAGCGACCCCGUGGCUAAUCAAAGCCCUUGGUCUACACGUGGGUGAUCUUCUAGCUGUCUUCAUUUGUGCGCGUGCAUCUAGUGAUUUGUCACUACUGUCUCGGCUCCGCCUUUGCACUCACGCAACACCCCCCGUCCAGAAGAGAAAGGCCAGCCGUGAGAGGCCCAGCCCGGCCCGUGAGAGGGGGGGACCCGAGUCUCCCUGGGCUGUGCCUGGUGCAACAGGGGACACGCAGGCGCAUCUCGGGGCCCGGGCCCCGUGAGCGCUGAGCACACAGACCGCCGGGACACACGGAUUCACCAUGAUUCCCUUCCUUGACAUGCUGAUGGCUGACUCCCUCGACUUUAAAUUCCUCUCUCAGAAAAGAAAGAAAGAACCAGAACUUUUUUUCCCUAACCACAAAACCCCAGGCACGGUGAUAUUAAUUUUUUUCAAGAUACACCAUUUUCUUCUGAGAGGGAAUGACUCCCAUCAGUUUGUCUCUAAUCAAAUCCAAAUGCAAGCGUGGUGUAGACUAAUGUCUUCUCCGUGUUUUCGGGAGCCGGGCGCUGUAUUCAAAGGAACGAAUCUUCACCCCACCUGAUGUGCAUUGAUCUUCAGAUGUGUCAGGUGGAAACUAAUCUCCUGUUAUUACUUGUCAGUUUAAGAACUCCCAGCUCCCUGGCUAAUUGGAAAACAGUUAAAAAUCCCUUCCCGAGGUCUGGACGGAACGCGGAAGGGGCCUGGAAGCCAGUACAUGAGCUCCCCCUGCUGGUGAUGGACAUUAUCCCAAGUGGGGGGAAAAUCCUGUUUGUUUUUCAAAAGCAACAGGAUGACAGAGGUUAAUGGAAAAAGCAGUUUACCCGCAAAAUUUAUGAAAUGGUUGCUCUUUGUCCCCUGGCUUCCCUCCCAUGGUGUUUAAAACUUCUCAGCAUGACGUUAUUUGCCAUCAAGGAGUUGCUGUGUUAUUGGUCAUGAUGCCAAAAAAAAAAAAAAAAAAAAAAAAAGGAACACAGUAGCACCCGUGCAUCCUGAGACCGCGUUUCAGGGCACCUACACGUGGCUCUGUUUAGGCGCGUUAAGCCAGGUCUGAACAUAGUUUCACCAAACUGAGAAACGAGGGUCAUCCUUAAGUGGUAGAAUUUCUUCUACAACCUUUCAAAUUUUGACUUCUUUAUAUGAAUGUGCGUUAUUUUGCCCGUUAGCCGAAAUGCUUUCAGUAGAUUCUUUUUUUCGAAUUUCGCUUGUCCAAAAUGUCCAGCGGCACAUGCCUCGGGGAUACCGUGUGGAGACGGCCUAGCCUGGGGUGUAGACCUGUGGAUGUGGGGUGGGGCUCCCAGGGCCUCCGUCUCCGCGUCUCGGCUCUCAGCCGAUGGGGAGCCGCUGCCCUGCCCCUCACCCACGGCCCGUGGCCCACCUUCGAACGCCCUCCUUUGCCCGCUAACCUCCUACGGAGGAAACGAGCUCCCGGGACGGGGUAGAGGCGGGCGAGGGCACAGCAGUCUUGAGAAAUAACUGGAAAAUGUUAACAGUUUUGCCUCCUUUUCUUUUCAACCUUAGUGAACACAAAAGUUCUUCAUCAGAGAAUUACUGUGUGUCUUAAAAACUAAAUGACAAAAACCGUUCCCCUGUUAGGGAGCCCCGGCCCAGUGGGCCAGUGGGACUGAGGGAGGAAACCGGGACAAGUCACUGGCCCGAGACUCGGAGGGUUUCCACAGGGGACGCCCGGCGGCCGCCGCCUGGCCCCCGCCCUUCACGCCCUUGCCCGGCCUGGCCCCAGCUGGACCGUGGGCCAACAGGUCACCCUCGUGCCCCGGGGAGCUGCCCGUCUUUCCUACAGACCUAGCAUCAUCCCCGUCCGUCCUGUCCCGGCAAACAGGUCCCCUUGUUCGCGGUGAGGGCUAAGGCUCCCCACAGACUCAAAUAUGACGAGUAACCAAACCCCGCUAUCUUUCAAGUGACUCCGCAGGGCUCCCAGGGGCUCCCGCUGCUCUAUGGACAAAGGUGCCGUGCUCUGACCACGACCUGAGCAGGGCCAGGGCAGGGCUUCGAGGGCCUCGGCCUCGCAGCCCAGACAGCCCUCCAGCCGCGGGUGGGCCCCUCGUCCCAGCAGAGCCCACAGGCCUUCGUCACGGUGCGCGCGCUACUCGAGCUCAGACCCCCUGCCGGCAGCUGCACUUCCCGCGGUGGAGGUGGGGGAGUCGGGGUCUGGGCGUCCCUUCUGCCAGGUGUCGGAGGCCACGGAAAUGUGGCCAGACCACAUCGGCCUCGCCAGAUCUGGUCGGACCAGCGGCCAAAAGGCGGGAGCAACCCAAGUGCCGGUCAACGGGUGAACGGAUAAACUAAAUGCGGCUUGUCCGUGCGAUAGAGCGUUAUCCGGCCUUGAAAGUCUCGGAAAGAAAUUUGACCCUAGCGACGACGUGGGUGAGCCUUGAGGGCGCGAUGUUGAGUGAAGGAAGCCAGACGUAGCAGGGCAAAUCGGAUGAGAUACCGAGAACAGUCACGUUCGUGGUGACAGAGAGUAGAGGGCGAGUGCCAGGGGCUGGGGAGGGGACUUAGUGUGUAAUGGGGUCUCAGCUUGGGCAAUAGAAGCUUCUGCAGGUGGUGGUGUCACAGUUGCACGACAGUGUAAAUUUACUUAACGCCACCGCACUGUGCCCUCAAAACUGGCAAAGGCGGUAAAUUUCACGUACAUUUGACCACAACUAGAGACAUAUGUAACGGGUGGCUCAGAUAUAGCUGGCACCCCCACCCCCACCGCUGCGCGAGGGCAUCAUCACCAUGACAACCAGGGUGUGUUUCGCAGCGUUUCUUCCUGUGCUCACCGCAGAAGCUCUUUAGUUAGUGAUCCAAAAAUAAGGAGGUUAAACACGAGGUCUAGCGUCUUAGGAAACGCCCUGAGGUAUAAACCUCCCUGGAGAAUGAUUUUCCUUCCGUGGCUGCUCUUCACGGGCCCGGUGGUAAUAUUCGAGGAGGAAGACCCUCCAGUGCGUCUGGCUUCUCAUGUGAGCAAAUCAAAGCCCCAGCACACGUCGCGGCUUGCUCGAAUCACACAGGCCUUGGUGCCAGGGCCUCCCCGACCCCCGCGGCGUGCUCCCCGCCGAGGCCGCAAAGGUGAGAUCCAGCUGAAGGGGUAAGAUGCCGACGGAGAAAGAACAGUCCGACGGCACGUGAGGUCUUGCAGCCUCAAGGGACCACGUUGCUCAGGAGACAGACACAUGUGGAAGGUGAAGGCUUUCGAGGCAAGGGCGGCCUCGGGAGCAAGAGCUCGGGCCUGGAAAUGAGAUGCUGCAUGUGGAGGGAAGGCCAGUUUGUUCUCUUUUAUGGCGGGAGUGGCGUUGCCCUGGAUGGAUGCGCCAUUUUGUUUGUCCUUUCUCCCACUGAUGAACAUUUGGGUUGUUUGCAGAUUUAGGGAUUAUGAAUUGAGCUGCGAAGAAACAUUUGUGGAUGCAUUUUCUCAUGAACGAUGGACAUCACGCGGCAAGAACUGCCCACUACGGCUCCCUGCCCCAGAAGUCUCAGCACGGCCGGCCCCAAGACGAG